GUUGCAUCACUAGGGUUUCUGCCCGCUCGUUCGUGCGCUCCACCUCGCUUCGCCUUCCCCGAUUCAGCAGCCGCCUUCUGCUAAAAAAAAAAAGAUUCAGCAGCCGCCUCGCCUCCGGGCGGAUAAGAUCCCCAAUCCCCAUGGCGGCGGCGAAGGAGGAGUUCACGGACGCGCGCGUGGGAUUGGCGGCGGCAGAUGCAGCGUCUCCAGGCGGCCACGGAGCUCCCCUCGUGAGGGCGCCGCCGGCUGCGGUCGAUGCAGGAGGAGCAACCCGCAGCUCCUGCUCCUGUUCCCACCCCCGUACUCCCCGCUCCCGGGGUCGCGGAGAGAGACGGCACCGCCAGCCUGGACACGCCGCUCGCCUGCCUCUCCUCUCCCUCUCGUCUCGACAGCAACAAUGGAAUCCUCCCAACCGCCUGAGGUUCAUCCCCUUCCCCCUUCCACCGCCCAAGCCUUAGCUGUCUCUCUCCUCCCCGGAUCCUAAACCUCUUAAUCAUGGGAGCUCAGUGCCUCCUCCGUGAAGCCCGGAUCCAAAUGCUAGGGCUUCGAAUCGAAGGCCCCGUUCCCUGUUCGGUAGUCACCGCCGCCAGGUAGCAGAAAUUUCUGAUUAAUGUUGUAUAUAUGUGCUGAAGAUUCUGCUGCAGCCACCAUGGUUAUCCCACCCUUUUGUGCUCUUCUAACAAUCUUAAAUAUAGUCACAAAAUAUUCUGCUCUUUUGCCAUGUCUAAUAAUUUUCACUUAUCAUGUGGCUUGCCUUGUUUUUGUAGUGCUCUUCAAUUUGCUGCUGAACAAAUAUGAGGAUGUGGCCUAUGGCAAUGUUCCAACCAGACCUAUCGCAGGUAGGUGUAAGUAAAAUUAACAAAGUACUGCUCUAUGUCGAGAUCUUUCCUGCAAUGUUUCAGUGUUCAACAAGCUCACCUUAGUCUUCUUAGACUAUUAUUGCUUACCAAUGCCAGAUAAGAGAAGAUCACAUUUAUCUGAUCUAGAGCGACCAGAAGCUCAGCACCAUCAAGGCUAACACGUACCGCAAGAGCUCUGCCUCCUCCUCCCCUGCGCAUCCCAUCAAGAUGCUUUUGUGCAUAGGUAGUGACAUUCUGGGAGGGGGAGAUGGUAGCUGCUAAAAAAGAAGACGAUGAUGAUGCCACCGCCAUGUUCUUGAUGAGCGGCGGCCGAGCGCUAGCCGCUAGAUGGGCAUCGGCCUGCGCGCGCCGCGCCAGGGCUACCCGUUGGGCGGUGCCUCGGCGCCGGCAUGUGGCUCCCCCUACGCGAGGCGCUGCCUUCGCAGCUCGGCGCCGGGGCGCAGCUUCGCGUCUGCGAGGCGCGGGCAGAUGGGCUAGCAGCGGCCUGCGGGCGCAGCUUGGCACCGGUGUGUGGCUCCGCAUACGCGAAGCACCGGCAGAAGGGUAGGCAGCGACCGGCAGGCGCAGCUCGGCGCCAGCUCGCGGCUCCGCCUCCGCGAGGCGCGUGCGAAAGGGCAAGGAGCGGCCUGCGGCUCCGCCACUGCAAGGCGUGGGCGGAAGGGCAAGCAGAAGCUGCGGGCGCAUCUAAUCAGACGCUCACCUCCAGCACGCCCGCAACGCUCCGUCACCAUGGCUGGCAUGCACAUCACGCACGUCCGCGAAUACAUUGAAAUCAGGAAAUAUAUUGGAUAGAAGGUCUUUUGGAGGUGGCCCUGACCUGACACCAUUGUAUAUCGCUGAAGAGGAUGUCAAUCACUUCCAUUCUGUAUGUGAAUAGCUCCUUUCCACUUGUUCAGAACAUAAAUAUAAAUCCAUGCUAUUUUUUUUUACCAAAAGCAACUUGUCCGAGGCUAUUGAGCUUGACUUGACCUUUAU